AGUGAACGCUGGCGAUAGGCCUAACACAUGCAAGUCGAACGGCAGCACAGUAAGAGCUUGCUCUUACGGGUGGCGAGUGGCGGACGGGUGAGGAAUACAUCGGAAUCUACUUUUUCGUGGGGGAUAACGUAGGGAAACUUACGCUAAUACCGCAUACGACCUACGGGUGAAAGCAGGGGAUCUUCGGACCUUGCGCGAUUGAAUGAGCCGAUGUCGGAUUAGUUAGUUGGCGGGGUAAAGGCCCACCAAGGCGACGAUCCGUAGCUGGUCUGAGAGGAUGAUCAGCCACACUGGAACUGAGACACGGUCCAGACUCCUACGGGAGGCAGCAGUGGGGAAUAUUGGACAAUGGGCGCAAGCCUGAUCCAGCCAUACCGCGUGGGUGAAGAAGGCCUUCGGGUUGUAAAGCCCUUUUGUUGGGAAAGAAAAGCAGCAGGUUAAGACCCCGCUGUUCUGACGGUACCCAAAGAAUAAGCACCGGCUAACUUCGUG
rnacentral:rRNA from 1 species